rnacentral:rRNA from 1 species
AAUCAACGCUGGCGGCGUGCCUCAGACAUGCAAGUCGAACGCGAAAGUUUCCUUCGGGAAACAAGUAGAGUGGCGCACGGGUGAGUAACACGUAGGUAAUCUACCUUCGGAUGGGGAAUAACAAUCGGAAACGGUUGCUAAUACCGCAUAAUGCAGCGGCACCUAAUGGUGACAGUUGUUAAAGCGGGGGAUCGAAGACCUCGCGUCUGAAGAGGAGCCUGCGGCGGAUAGCUAGUUGGUAAGGUAAUGGCUUACCAAGGCUACGAUCCGUAACCGGCCUGAGAGGGCGGUCGGUCACACUGACACUGACAUACGGGUCAGACUCCUACGGGAGGCAGCAGUCGGGAAUUUUGGGCAAUGGGCGAAA